AAGCAUGUGUUGCGGGUGCGGGCUAUCGCAGUGGAGUUCAGUCAGUGGAGACCUCAACAUGGCUUCUGGCAACGACAGGGGAGCGGGUCUGUCGCCCGAAGCCGAGGUAGCAGCUCAGGCUUUUGUGCAGUUAUUGGCCCGGGAGCUGUCCUCAGGCCCCAAACGCACAGAGAGAGAGUACAGCAGUCAGGGCUGGAGGCAGUGCUCCUCUGCCGGUUAGCGAUGCUAGGGGAAUAGCCAUCCCAGAGAUUCAAUGGGACGAGAGUGGCUACACAAAUGAGCCUCAUUCCGGGGUAAAUAUUCAAAACUUAAGUAGCUUAAGUGCAAACUUUACAAAAGUAAAAUCCCUGUAGUCUCUUUUCCUCUCCUAGUUUAGAACAUCCAAAUGAUUACUUGAAAUGCUGCUGUAAAUACUGUGGAAUGUAAACAAAGAAUGAAGUUUCAUUUACCAAUUUUAUGUGCAUUUGUGUUUCAUUUCAUCUCAGAGGGAGCUGGGCUUUACUGUUUCUGUCAAACAUUCACAUUUAUGUCUUCUCCUUUCCCUGUGCUGCAGUGAAGCACACAGCAGUGGAUAGAAAGGAGGGAGAGAAACAUGACCAUUUGACAAUA